rnacentral:sRNA from 1 species
UUACAGGGUGAAGUUGAACAAAUUGCUAUGAUGAAACCAAAAGGCCAGACUGAACAUGAUGAGGUUAAACAGGGUAAAGAUGGUGGAAAAGGAAAAGGAUGCCUUAGAAGGAGAGAAAAACAUAGCUAUCGAAUUUCUUACCUUGGAAAAUGAAAUAUUUAGAAAAAAGAAUCAUGUUUGUCAAUAUUAUAUUUAUGAGUUGCAGAAACGAAUUGCUGAAAUGGAAACUCAAAAGGAAAAAAUUCAUGAAGACACCAAAGAAAUUAAUGAGAAGAGCAAUAUACUAUCAAAUGAAAUGAAAGCUAAGAAUAAAGAUGUAAAAGAUAUAGAAAAGAAACUGAAUAAAAUUAAAAAAUUUAUUGAGGAGAAUAAAGAAAAAUUUACACAGCUAGAUUUGGAAGAUGUUCAAGUUAGAGAAAAAUUAAAACAUGCAACGAGUAAAGCCAAAAAACUGGAGAAACAACUUCAAAAAGAUAAAGAAAAGGUUGAAGAAUUUAAAAGUAUACCUGCCAAGAGUAACAAUAUCAUUAAUGAAACAACAGCCAGAAACAAUGCCCUCGAGAAGGAAAAAGAGAAAGAAGAAAAAAAAUUAAAGGAAGUUAUGGAUAGCCUUAAACAGGAAACACAAGGGCUUCAG